UGGGUGUAUGCUUGUAUUCUUGUUUAUACUACCUAUGUUCUUAUGUUUAUGCCUACAUUUGUAUAUUUUGUCUUUAAAUGUAAAGCACUUUGAAAUUACGUGGAAUGAAAUGUGCUAUAUAAACUAGAAUUACCGCCUCACGGUUGUAUGCCUCAGCCAACCAGUCAAGUUCCAGUUUACAUCCCCGUCUGUCCGAAAUGUCAUCACCUCAUUAUUUUAUCCUAUUAGACAUUUGUGUAAAGUUGUCAUAAGUAGCACAUGAAUUCUUGAGUUAUGGCCAAAAACGUGUUUUGUGAGGUCACAGUGACCUUUGACCACCAAAAUCUGU